AGGGAAAUUCAGAAAAGCACAAAAUAAGGCAAAGCUGCUUCUAACACAGCAACUGCCAUUCAUAUUGUGAAAGCCUAGGAGGAACUGCAUUGGAAUACAUUACUUCAGUUGUGAAGAUAAAAAGUGUUGAAAUUGUUUCUUUCCCUGAGGAACCUCAAAGAGCCAGCAAGGCCAACCCCUCCAGCAGAAGUGGUUGAAGUUCUACUAAUGACUUAAUGGAAUAGCUUCUGUUCUGUAACAUUAUCCCUCUGGUUUGCUUGGCUUAUGAAAAAUAAGUUUCCUUUUACACAGGCAGCGUAAAAGUAAGUUUCCUUAUUUUUCACAGGCUUGUGAAAAAUAAGUUUCCUUUUACAUACAGGCAGUGUCACACACCACACUCCUCCUUCUGCCCUCCCUUCUCUCUCCAGCACCAUCCCUCUGUCCUUCUCCAGUCAGGAAAGUGAUAGAGAGUUUUAUUGCAGCUCACAUCAGUGCAAUGCUCUAGAAUGGGUUUAUUCACCUGAACUGUCACAGUGAAUUUUGGACUGCAGGGCAAUCCUGUUCAGUCUCACUCCAGUCUCCUGCUGGAGCUUGCAACACAGAUCCAGUUGGGAUCCAGGAAACACAGCUCUCUUCUCUCCACCACAUCCUGCAGCCUGCCCCAGACAGAGGCCACAGUGGGCCUUUACAAGCCCUGCCACAGCUGUAGGACUGGGUAAAGCCAUGAAGAGGAAAAAAUGUCUGAGGAACAGCUGAAAUAGGACUUCUAAGCUGGGUUCAAGGCCUUUGAUUUGAUUAGAUUAGCCACACCUUUGCAGGAAUUAAUCAGCUGUUAAUCAUUUACUUCAGCCCAAAGAGGAAACGUCCAGGUUACCUCUACAAGUCUCCAGGUACAGCAAGGGGUCCCCUCACCACAGGCCAAGAUCUCUUGGAGGAGUGAAGAGGAGGCAACAGAGGAAACACCUACUACAAACCACAACAGCUUCAGCAGGGUGCAAGCCAGCAUGUCACUAGAGCAAGAGGCAUCCUCAGAGCUGCAAGACCUAAAGAGCCUGAUUGCAACAAGUGGUUGGGCUCUUGGAGGGCUGGUGGUGAUUGUCAUCUUCUGCUCUGUUUUUAUUGCUCUCAUUUUGUUUGCUGCUAUCUUUGGGUGCUGCACAUCUCCAAGGCACAGACGGGGUGGCUCAUAGCCAGCAAAGUGGGGACACAGAACUUGGUACAGCUGAGCAAGAACCAGCCUGGGUACAACCUGAUUGUGUUGUUCACAGAAAACUCUCACCUCACUCCCUGCGUGGUUGUUUCUCUUCAUGCAACUUCCCUGCAUCAAGAACAAUGUCCCAGUGGCAGCAAGUUGUUCUGCAGGCCACAGCAAACUCACUACAUGAGGCUGUCUGGAUUCAGGAACCGCAACAUUCAGCGAAUACCAAAGUAAACUCGUCUCUGAUUUUCAUCUUUCAACCAAAACCACCAACUAGAGGUGGCAAAUGGUCAGCCACCACCUAAAUCUGAUAAAGAUGUGUUCUGCUGCUGCAGCUACGUGUGUUGGGAGGGGGGGUUUCAUCUUGUAAAAGGGCAGUAGGAAACUCUGGCCCUGAAAGCUUUGAACCCACUCUCUAAAAGCAGCUUAGACCAUUGUUCUCCUGUCAUACUCAGGCCUAAAUACACUAUGCAAAAACUUACUUGCCAGUA